UCGUGCCGCUUGACAUAGAGGGGCGCGAUGCCAGGCGUCGUGAGCCAGGUUCUUGAGUGCCAGUCUCCCCCAGUGUGGCACCGGGCACAGGUCUAGUCUCCCUCAGUGUGGCAACGGGCACAGGUCUAGUCUCCCCCAGUGUGGCACCGGGCACAGGUCUAGUCUCCCCCAGUGUGGCACCGGGCACAGGUCUAGUCUCCCCCAGUGUGGCACAGGUCUAGUCUCCCCCAGUGUGGCACCGGGCACAGGUCCUCGGGUUACCACUCCCUCACGCUCCCUACUGCACCACCACACGCCUCUUGAGCUUCAACUCUCAG